ACUCAUACAAUUUCCCCAAAAUUUCUCUUUUUUUCCAAAUACGCACAAAAAUCCUAAUCUUCUUUUUCCCAUUCUCUCUAAAAAUAUUUCCCUUUUCUUUCCUAAAUUUUCUUUCAUUUCCCUUUCAUUCCCAAUAUUUUUUCCAUUUCCUCUUCCCUUUCCCACAAAAUUUCCAAAUACGAUUCUCAACUGCAUACCCAAGCUCUCACCACUUCACUAUCGAGGCAAAAUCAAGUAUUAGAGUAGAGAGAAUGGAAGAUGAGAUUGCAACGGUCGGUGGAUUGACUAAGGGAUAGCUUCUGUUGGCAGCAUGUCCUAGAACUGAUAUUCACGGAAGAAGAAGAUACGCGGUUUACAAUGUGCUUGAUUCUUUAAAGAAAUCAAGGCCAAGGGAGAUUUCAUGGCUAUGGGAGGAAGCUUUGAGAAAACGAGAAUGAAAAAUUAACAGAGAUUCACAUUGGUUGCUCAAGAGACGUAUUAGGUUUUGCAAGAAUCCAUUGGAGCAAUGAAGCCAUAUUAGAGCAAUUGAUUGAUUUAUAGGUCUUUUUGUCGGUUUAGUAAAAAAAAUUUGGUUGAAAUGUACUUAUUUAAAUAGAUUGUUGGUACCAAAACAUGUAUGUUCAGUCUAUCAUUAUACAAACCCUUUACCAACAAUUAUACAAAUAUGAAAAAGUGUAUGUUAAUGUAUAUAUAUUAAAGCAUUGACGGUUUGUUUCCA